GCGCCGGUGGUGUAAGACGUAGCAUCCCUGCCCAGAAAGCAGAAGGUACGGGUUCGAGUCCCAGCUGGUGCA
rnacentral:tRNA from 1 species